ACGGAGGAGAGGAAGGAGGACGGAGGAGUCAAGGAGAGGAUGGCAUAGCCGCGGGAAGAUGUUUUGAGUAGGGCUUGCUGACUGAAAAUGUUUACUACUUUUCCAAUAUUUCUCUAUUUUCUUUCUCUCUGCAUUGUUGGGAAUGGCCCGUAAAAUAAGCAUUUCACUGUCAGUUUACACCUGUUGUUUACGAAGCAUGUGAUGAAUAACAUUUGAUUUGAUUUCAAAGAACUCCAUCUCCACCGCAGCACCAGCACCCCUACUUCCUGCGGCUAUGGAGGAUGGGCUUUAGACCAAUAGAGAAUCUCCCAAUGCCAACCAUAAGAAGACAGUGAUAGACAUUUUAAAUGCUACUGCUCUUUCACCAUUUCAGCUACAAACAUUAAAACAACUUCAACAUUUUCAAAACUUUAUAAAUUUGAACUAUUUACAUUUUCAUUAAUUAGCAUAAAUAACACACCAACAGUAAUAUUAUAGGCCUAACUAAAACCGUUCAAGCUAGAGACACCCAAUCAACUUUCACCUGUUCCAGCUAUCCUUUUCUAUCAUCCAUAUUACUUCAAGACAAGCUAGCAAGCACACAGAUUUUCUUUAGGAAAUGUACUUUUCGAGUAUUCAGUUGACCUUUGUCAGUGCCUGUGAAUUUUUGCUUCCAUGUAAGACCAAUAAGUCUACUACUACGGACGGGGAAUAGACAAAUGAACCGAUUGCGUUGUGGUUAAAAGCUUAUAUUUACCGGAAGAGGUAAACGGUGGAACGUCAUUUAUCUUGAGGAAAGACGAAGGCAGGAAAGCUACAUUACGAGCAAUUGUUGCUGGGAAGAAACCAAUAACAAGAUGACUAAAAUGGUGAUGGCUUACAUUGGGUUCCUUCUCCUUGCCAUGCGUUUUUCGUCACAGGUCCACGCGCAAAACACCACCCCACAGUCCCCUGCCAUGAAUGCUACGACCAAAGCUGGCGGUGCGAGUUC
rnacentral:lncRNA from 13 species